rnacentral:rRNA from 1 species
GAUGAACGCUAGCUACAGGACUUAACACAUGCAAGUCGAGGGCAUCACAGUGUAGCAAUACGACGGGUGGCGACCGGCGCACGGGUGCGUAACACGUAUCCAAUCUGCCCGUUACUCGGGGAUAGCCUUCUGAAAGGAAGAUUAAUACCCGAUGGCAUGUAUUUCCGGCAUCGGAGAUACAUUAAAGAUUUAUCGGUAACGGAUGAGGAUGCGUACGAUUAGCUAGUUGGCGGGGUAACGGCCCACCAAGGCUACGAUCGUUAGGGGUUCUGAGAGGAAGGUCCCCCGCACUGGAACUGAGACACGGUCCAGACUCCUACGGGAGGCAGCAGUGAGGAAUAUUGGUCAAUGGGCGCGAGCCUGAACCAGCCAAGUAGCGUGUAGGAUGACGGCCCUCUGGGUUGUAAACUGCUUUUAGUUGGGAAUAAAAAGAGGGACGUGUCCCUAAUUGUAUGUACCAUCAGAAAAAGGACCGGCUAAUUCCGUG